rnacentral:rRNA from 1 species
GUGGGGAAUAUUGGACAAUGGGCGAAAGCCUGAUCCAGCCAUGCCGCGUGUGUGAAGAAGGUCUUCGGAUUGUAAAGCACUUUAAGUUGGGAGGAAGGGCAGUAAGUUAAUACCUUGCUGUUUUGACGUUACCGACAGAAUAAGCACCGGCUAACUUCGUGCCAGCAGCCGCGGUAAUACGAAGGGUGCAAGCGUUAAUCGGAAUUACUGGGCGUAAAGCGCGCGUAGGUGGUUUUGUAAGUUGGAGGUGAAAUCCCCGGGCUCAACCUGGGAACUGCCUCCAAAACUGCAUGACUAGAGUACGGUAGAGGGUAGUGGAAUUUCCUGUGUAGCGGUGAAAUGCGUAGAUAUAGGAAGGAACACCAGUGGCGAAGGCGACUACCUGGACUGAUACUGACACUGAGGUCGAAAGCGUGGGGAGCAAACAGGAUUAGAAACCCCUGUAGUCC